GAUCCUGGCUCAGGAUGAACGCUGGCGGCGUGCUUAACACAUGCAGGUCGAACGAAGCACCUUGAUUUGAUUCUUCGGAUGAAGAUCUUGGUGACUGAGUGGCGGACGGGUGAGUAACGCGUGGGUAACCUGCCUCAUACAGGGGGAUAACAGUUAGAAAUGACUGCUAAUACCGCAUAAGACCACAGUACCGCAUGGUACAGGGGUAAAAACUCCGGUGGUAUGAGAUGGACCCGCGU
rnacentral:rRNA from 1 species